UACUACGUACCUUUCUAGGAGCUGCUGCGAAAGAACUUCUAACGAAGAGUGUACGUAUAGGAGCUCGAUAAUACGAGAAGAAACGAGGAUAAAGUGGCGAAGAUUGUCGACGUUCUUCGGCAGUCGAUCAGUCGUGUCGGGUGGUGUGCUGAGCAUCGUCGAGGAUCGUUCUUGCAGCAUGUGACGACGGCAGCAGCACCGCGGCGUGGUACGCCGCCUCCUCGCAUCAGUCGUGGAUGUUCGGCGCCCUCAUCGAUAGUCGACUGCAGCACCACCGCGGUGCAGCAGCCCGCCUAGUUUGUUGCGGUCAUCCAUCACGUUACUAUGUCUUCUAUGAGGAGGCGCGGUAGUGUGUGCAACAAAGACUACUGAUGCUGUAGGAGGAGGGGCGGGCGGUGGUACAACGACGACACAUCAUCACCUCACCAUACGUGGUGCUGAUGUGAGCGGUAUCGUGUGUUGUACGCUCACCUCUCGGGGUGACACGCUGUACGCUAAACUGAUCACGGUGUGAACGUCAAUCAUCUAUCCGACCCGUCUUGAAACACGGACCAAGGAGUUUAGCACAUGCGCGAGUCAUUGAAUACUAUUGUAAAUUCAUAGGCGUAAUGAAAGUGAAUUGUAGUGUGAACUGCUGCAUAUAUGCGAUCGACUCUUUUCUGGUCGAGCAGCAUAGCCCCGUUUAUGUUCAAGUGCGACGUGUGCGUAUGCUCUUGUAGUUUGCGUACCGACGCAUCGCGAACUGAACGGAGGAAGAGCGCAUGCGCUGAGACCCGAAAGAUGGUGAAUUAUGCCUGAGUAGGACGAAGCCAGAGGAAACUCUGGUGGAAGUUCGAAGCGAUUCUGACGUGCAAAUC
rnacentral:rRNA from 1 species